rnacentral:lncRNA from 1 species
GUUUCGUGUCAAAGUGCCAGUUAAUAACCUUUUUAAACAUUCAAGCAUACAUGUUAAAUGGCAUCAACACAAAAAUGCCUUUAGUUUUUUUGUUUUGACAGUUGAAAUUUCAAUUCUUGAAUUUGAAUUUUCCGGUGAUCGCUUACACGUCAAUUUUUAGCCAUCAACCAAAUUAAUUAAUCAUUCAGACUCAGCAAAUUUA